AUGAGUGUGCCCACUCAGCUCCUAGCAUUGCUGCUGCUGUGGCUUACAGAUGCCAGAUGUGACAUCCAGGUGACUCAGUCUCCAGCGUCCCUGUCUGCACCUGUGGGAGAAAGUGUCUCCAUCACAUGUAAAGCAAGUGAAGAAAUUUAUAGUGCUUUAAAUUGGUAUCAGCAGAAACCAGGGAAAUCUCCACAGCUCCUGAUCUAUUAUGCAACCAGCUUGGGAGAUGAUGUGCCCUCAAGGUUCAGUGGCAGUAAAUCUGGCACACAGUAUUCCCUCAAGAUCAGCAGCCUGCAGCCUGAAGAUCUUGCAACUUAUUACUGUGAACAGAGUUA